rnacentral:rRNA from 1 species
GAUGAACGCUAGCUACAGGCUUAACACAUGCAAGUCGAGGGGCAGCAUGAACUUAGCUUGCUAAGUUUGAUGGCGACCGGCGCACGGGUGAGUAACACGUAUCCAACCUUCCGUUUACUCAGGGAUAGCCUUUCGAAAGAAAGAUUAAUACCUGAUAGUAUGGUGAGAUUGCAUGAUAACACCAUUAAAGAUUUAUUGGUAAACGAUGGGGAUGCGUUCCAUUAGGUAGUAGGCGGGGUAACGGCCCACCUAGCCUGCGAUGGAUAGGGGUUCUGAGAGGAAGGUCCCCCANAUUGGAACUGAGACACGGUCCAAACUCCUAUGGGAGGCAGCAGUGAGGAAUAUUGGUCAAUGGGCAGAGCCUGAACCAGCCAAGUAGCGUGAAGGAUGACUGCCCUAUGGGUUGUAAACUUCUUUUAUAAAGGAAUAAAGUCGGUAUGCAUACCCGUUUGCAUGUACUUUAUGAAUAAGGAUCGGCUAACUCCGUGCCAGCAGCCG